rnacentral:rRNA from 1 species
UACGUAGGGUGCAAGCGUUUAAUCGGAAUUACUGGGCGUAAAGCGUGCGCAGGCGGCUUUGCAAGACAGUUGUGAAAUCCCCGGGCUCAACCUGGGAACUGCAUCUGUGACUGCAUCGCUGGAGUGCGGCAGAGGGGGAUGGAAUUCCGCGUGUAGCAGUGAAAUCGUAGAUAUGCGGAGGAACACCGAUGGCGGAAGGCAAUCC